rnacentral:rRNA from 1 species
AUUGAACGCUGGCGGCAGGCCUAACACAUGCAAGUCGAACGGUAACAGGAAGAAGCUUGCUUCUUUGCUGACGAGUGGCGGACGGGUGAGUAAUGUCUGGGAAACUGCCUGAUGGAGGGGGAUAACUACUGGAAACGGUAGCUAAUACCGCAUAACGUCGCAAGACCAAAGAGGGGGACCUUCGGGCCUCUUGCCAUCGGAUGUGCCCAGAUGGGAUUAGCUAGUAGGUGGGGUAACGGCUCACCUAGGCGACGAUCCCUAGCUGGUCUGAGAGGAUGACCAGCCACACUGGAACUGAGACACGGUCCAGACUCCUACGGGAGGCAGCAGUGGGGAAUAUUGCACAAUGGGCGCAAGCCUGAUGCAGCCACGCCGCGUGUAUGAAGAGGGCCUUCGUGUUGUAAAGUACUUUCAGCGGGGAGGAAGGGAGUAAAGUUAAAACCUUUGCUCAUUGACGUUACCCGCAGAAGAAGCACCGGCUAACUCCGU